rnacentral:rRNA from 2 species
UGAAGCCGCUUCGGUGGUGGAUUAGUGGCGAACGGGUGAGUAACACGUGGGCAAUCUGCCCUUCACUCUGGGACAAGCCCUGGAAACGGGGUCUAAUACCGGAUGAUACUUCUGCCUGCAUGGGUGGGGGUUGAAAGCUCCGGCGGUGAAGGAUGAGCCCGCGGCCUAUCAGCUUGUUGGUGGGGUGAUGGCCUACCAAGGCGACGACGGGUAGCCGGCCUGAGAGGGCGACCGGCCACACUGGGACUGAGACACGGCCCAGACUCCUACGGGAGGCAGCAGUGGGGAAUAUUGCACAAUGGGCGGAAGCCUGAUGCAGCGACGCCGCGUGAGGGAUGACGGCCUUCGGGUUGUAAACCUCUUUCAGCAGGGAAGAAGCGUGAGUGACGGUACCUGCAGAAGAAGCGCCGGCUAACUACGUGCCAGCAGCCGCGGUAAUACGUAGGGCGCAAGCGUUGUCCGGAAUUAUUGGGCGUAAAGAGCUCGUAGGCGGCUUGUCGCGUCGGAUGUGAAAGCCCGGGGCUUAACUCCGGGUCUGCAUUCGAUACGGGCAGGCUAGAGUGUGGUAGGGGAGAUCGGAAUUCCUGGUGUAGCGGUGAAAUGCGCAGAUAUCAGGAGGAACACCGGUGGCGAAGGCGGAUCUCUGGGCCAUUACUGACGCUGAGGAGCGAAAGCGUGGGGAGCGAACAGGAUUAGAUAC